rnacentral:rRNA from 1 species
UACGUAGGGGGCAAGCGUUGUCCGGAAUUAUUGGGCGUAAAGAGCGCGUAGGCGGUCCGAUAAGUCGGCUGUGAAAGUCAUGGGCUCAACCCAUGAAAGCCGGCCGAUACUGUCGGACUAGAGUUCGGAAGAGGCGAGUGGAAUUCCCGGUGUAGCGGUGAAAUGCGCAGAUAUCGGGAGGAACACCAAUUGCGAAGGCAGCUCGCUGGGACGAUACUGACGCUGAGACGCGAAAGCGUGGGGAGCGAACAGG